CACGGAAUUAGCCGGUCCUUAUUCCAAGGCUACAUGCAACAGGGCACACGUGCCCCUCUUUAUUCACCUUAAAAGCAGUUUACAACCCAUAGGGCCGUCAUCCUGCACGCUACUUGGCUGGUUCAGGCUUGCGCCCAUUGACCAAUAUUCCUCACUGCUGCCUCCCGUAGGAGUUUGGACCGUGUCUCAGUUCCAAUGUGGGGGACCUUCCUCUCAGAACCCCUACUGAUCGAUGCCCUGGUGGGCCGUUACCCCGCCAGCAAGCUAAUCAGACGCAUCCCCAUCCAUAACCGAUAAAUCUUUACUCUUAUUCCGAUGUCAGCGUAAGAGACCAUAAGGGAUUAGGCCGCAUUUCUACGGGGUAUUCCUUAGUUAUGGGAAGGUUGGAUACGCGUUACUCACCCGUGCGCCGGUCGACGACAAAGAAUAGCAAGCUAUUCUCCCGUUUCCCCUCGACUUGCAUGUGUUAAGCCUGUAGCUAGCGUUCAUCCUGAGCCAGGAUCAAACUCU
rnacentral:rRNA from 1 species